GUGAUCAAUAAGUAUUUUAGACAAAUUGAACUCAUACAUCCUCCUAUUCACUGAGUUCCCUUUGAGGGUAAGUACAUUAUUCCACUAAAUAUUUUAAGUUUUUCUUUAUCUACUGAAAUAUUCUCCUCUUGUCAUUUGGUCAGAACCCUUUUUGAUAACUAACAACCUAAUCCACUUUGGGGCCAUGUAUGUUAAUGGCAUAGAAAGUUCUCCUUCCAGAAAGCCCUCUGUCAGGGCAGCAGGCUGUGCUGUGCUUAAGCAUACCAGCUCCUAUAGGCAGCUUUGCUGGGAUAAAGCUUGUCUUUUAUUUUAAUUGGCAAAAUGAGGGUUCUGAUGGUGUUAACUUCAAAGUGUGAUUUUUAAGAUUAAAUGAGUGAAUGAUUCUAAAACACAUACAAGCAUUCCAUAAAAAUUGGCUGUGUUUGUUAAAUUUAUACACCUAUGUAAGACUCUGUUGAAAUAAUGAUUUUAUUACAAUAAGACACUCAGGGAUGUGUUGAUGACUGGAAGUGUUUUUAGGAUCUAGAAAACAUACCAUAUGAGCAACCUCAUGUUUUAGAUAGUCCUAGGGGAAGUCUCACAUCCACCAUAGCAUCAGUGCCAUGAAAUGGUGCCAUCACUCUUGCCAUAUCUCCUUAAUGUAUAACUGCACACAUGAAAUAUAUCUAUGCAUAUUUAUAGGCUGACCUUGUUCACAUGUUUCAGACAUAUACAUAUUUUUUAAAUGUAUGCACCCACAUGUGUAUGUACAGUUGUUUUUAAGUGCUGACCUUAUUCAAACAUGCUGAAACACAUUUUCCUUCCACUUAUACAUUAGGAAGCAAUUGACCUCUGGCAACAGUUGCUGUGAAAGUUCAAGUGCCAGGCGCCCCAGGGUCAAAAGGUAUCCUCAUUAACAGCUUUGAGAGCAGCGGAUGUCUGUGCUGGCUUAGCUUUGUAAGCAGAUCUUUAAAGAUUAACCUACAAACUUUGAGGAGAAUAUACUGGUAGAGCAUGUAAGGUGAGCUGACUGAUAUGUGUCCUAUUUUUUUGAUUGACAAGGAAAAUUGCAUAUAUUUGUGGUAUACACCACGAUAUUUUGAAAUAUGUAUACAUUGUGGAAUGACUAAUUAAAGCUUUGCAUUACCUUACAUACGAAUUUUUUGUGUGGUGGGGACACUUAAAAUCUACCCUCUUAGCAAUUUUUAAGUAUACAAUACAUUGUCAUUGUCACCUUGUUGUACAACAGAUCUCUUGAACUUAUUUCUCUUGUCUAAAUGAAAUUUUGUAUCCUUUGACCAACAUCUUCCCAACCUUCUCCCCUGCUUAGCCCCUGGUAACCACCAUUCUACUCUAUUUUUAUGAGUUCAACUUUUUUAGAAUCCACAUAUAGGUUGUAAAGAAACUUUUUUAGAAUCCACAUUUUGUUGUAAAGAAAUAACUGAGGCUGCAUUAUUUAUAAAGAAAAGCCAGGUAUUGUGGCUUACACCUGUAAUCCUAGCACUUUGGGAGGCUGAGGUGGGUGGAUCACUUGAGCUCAACAGUUCGAUACCAGCCGGGCAACAUGAUGAAACCAUAUCUCUAACAAAAAUACAAAAACUUAGCCAGGCAUGCUGCUGUGUGCCUGUGGCCUCAGCCACUUCAAGACUGAGGUGGGGAGGAUUACUUGACCCCAGGAGACAGAAGUUGCAGUUAGCUGAGAUCGUCCCACUGUACUCCAGACUGAGUGACGGAAUGAGACCUCAUCUCAAAAAAAAAAAAAAAAA
ensembl:lncRNA